rnacentral:lncRNA from 1 species
AACAUGCUUUGCACUUGUACCUGGAGGAACUGGAGACAGUGGGUUCGAACUUUAGCGGUGGUCAUCUACCUGGUGUCCAUAGUGGUUGUGGUUGCCUUAUGCAUAUGGGGAUUACAGAAACUGGAGAUUCAAAUGCACACCAAAGGCUUAGUUUAUUGCUGCAAUUGUUUUUGCUGUUGACAAUAUCUAUAUCGUUAUGGGUUAUAUUGCUACAGUUAGUGCAUUAUAUGCAACCUAAACUACAAAAACCAAUCAUAAGGAUUCUUUGGAUGGUACCCAUUUACAAUUUAGAUAAUUGGAUACUCCAGCAUUGCAAUAUAUGUGCAUACCUGCAGAGAAUUCUAUAAAGCUUAUGUCAUUUACAACUUUAUGAGAUUCCUUACCCAUUAUCUAACUAACCAUUAUCCAAAUCUGGUACUAAUUACUGAAACCAAAUAUCAGCAGAAACAUUUUCCUCCUCUAUGUUGCUGUCUACCAUAGACUACGGUAGAAGUAUUGCUGUUUAGGCAAACUAGGUAUAUUGCAGUAUACAGUUGUCAGACCAUUCACCACCAUCAUUGUUUUAAUCUGUGAACUGCUUGCUAUAUAUGAUUAGCUUUUCAUAUACUUAGACUUAUUUGGUUAUGAUAAACAACAUGUCACAAUUGUUUGCCAUGUAGUGUCUUCUGCUAUUUUACAAAAAACUAAAGGAAGAACUGAGCCUAAUCCAACAUGUUGGCAGAUUUCUUUGUGUAAUGCUGGUAUUUUUUGUUUCUCUUUGGCAAGUAGUAAUUAUUGCUUUGAUGGUAAAAUUUGGCAUUAUUUGUGAAAAGCAUGUAUGGAAAUGGCAAACUGUAGAAGCUGUGGUUCUAGGACUCCAGGACUUUAUAUCUGCAUUGAGAGUUUCCUUGUUGCUAUUGCCCAUCACUACACUUUCUCAUUAACCAUAUCUCCAAGAAACAGAACACGGCUCAUGCUCUGAUUCCUUCCUUGCCAUGUGGGAUGUUUCAGAUAUUAGUAUUUUUGAACAAGUAAGGCAUGUUGGAUGGACAGUCAGGAGACAUCAUAGGAAAAAUUUGUUUCCCGAGGAUCACAAUCAGAAUGAGCAUACAAGCUUAUUAUCAUCAUCAUGGAGAUGCAAUUUCCACUGCCUGUUUUAUGUCACUUUAAUCCAUGGGUCACUAUAAGGAUUUGGACACACUGAGACUCCCCAGACUACAGCUAUUAUGCCUAAAAUAUCUGAUGAAAUACUUAGUAAUACUAUAGGAGAGAAAAA